rnacentral:rRNA from 1 species
AUUGAACGCUGGCGGCAUGCUUUACACAUGCAAGUCGAACGGCAGCACGGGUGCUUGCACCUGGUGGCGAGUGGCGAACGGGUGAGUAAUGCAUCGGAACGUGCCCAUGAGUGGGGGAUAGCCCGGCGAAAGCCGGAUUAAUACCGCAUACGCCCUUAGGGGAAAGGCGGGGAGUCUUCGGACCUCGCGCUAUUGGAGCGGCCGAUGUCGGAUUAGCUAGUAGGUGAGGUAAAGGCUCACCUAGGCGACGAUCCGUAGCUGGUCUGAGAGGAUGAUCAGCCACACUGGGACUGAGACACGGCCCAGACUCCUACGGGAGGCAGCAGUGGGGAAGUUUUGGUACAAUAGGCGGCAAGACCUGAUCCAGCCAUGCCGCCGUGAGUGAAG